UACGAGGGGGGCGAGCGUUGUUCGGAAUUAUUGGGCGUAAAGGGUGCGUAGGCGGUUUGGUAAGUCUUGUGUGAAAUCUCUGGGCUCAACUCAGAGUCUGCACGAGAAACUGCCGGGCUUGAGUGUGGGAGAGGUGAGUGGAAUUCCUGGUGUAGCGGUGAAAUGCGUAGAUAUCAGGAGGAACACCAGAGGCGAAGGCGGUUACCUGGACAGUUACUGACGCUCAGGCACGAAAGCGUGGGGAGCAAAAGGG
rnacentral:rRNA from 1 species